AAAUCAGCAGCACUACUGUCUCAAGUUCUCAAUUUUGGUCGUUCGUUUGGCUUUCAUGAACCGGGAAGAGAGAAAACGCAGGUUCAAUGAGGCCAUCGUUGACAUGCUCUUUCCACCUCCGCCUAAAGAUGAAUCGCCUCCAUCCCCACCAGAGGAAGAGUCGAAUCCUGUGCAGGCUUCGAUCGAAGGUUUUGGUUCUGAUGCUCUUCCAGAUACUUUGGAUGUUUAUGAGAAUGCAUCUACAAGUACCGAG